AGAACAUACUUUCAAUUUUGAACCAGUCACUGGGCAAGGCCAGCACAGAUAACAACAAGGAACAGAAUUCCGGGAAGCAUCCAAGCAUGGAUCAGGAAAUGGCCAGGUGUUUUCCUGGAUUUUUUAGACGGGGGUCAAAGCGAUGUGCAGUAAGCUUGAAUAAACCAUCAAAGGUGGCCAAAGAAUGGAAGCCAUUUAAUUUUACAGUUUUCCUUGUUCACAAAAGCUGUGAGACAACACCCUCACCAGUUCAGGACCUGGAGCACAUGCAGGCUGGGAUGGGGAAAAGAACCCUUUUCAUGCCUAAAGACAUGAUUCAUUCAGAGGUCUCUGACUUGUUUAAAAUGACAUAUCCAAAAAUGGAAAAAAUCACUGGAG